CUGAAUGCUGCUGAUAGAGGCGAUGUGCAGCACUGAAGAGCAUAUCUGCUCCUCCCGCUCCCUGGUGGUAGACGGUGUAUUAUGACUGA